rnacentral:rRNA from 1 species
UUUAAUCGGAAAUUUACUUAGGCGGGUAAAAGCGCACCGCCGGGCGGGUUUGUUUCAAGUUUGGAAUGAUGAUAUUACUCCCGGGCCUUUACCUGGGGAGCUGCCAUCCCAACGAACUGGCCAACUAGGGUAUUCGUAGGAGGAAGGGUAGGAAUUUCUCAGGUGGUAGCCGGCGAAAAUGCGUAGAGAUCUGGGGGAAUACCCGCGGGGGAGGGCGGGCCUCCUGGGGGAAGACUGACGCUCACGUGUGAAAACCGUGGGGAGCCACAGGGUAUAUAUCCCCCGGUAGUCCCGCUGUAUAAGAGUUCUAGUUUGGGGUGUGCCCCUUGAGGUGUGGCUUUCGAAGAUAACGCGAUAUAUCGCCCCCCCGGGGAGACGGCCGCAAGGUUAAAACUCAAAUAAAUUGCGGGGGCCCCGCACAAGGGGGGGGGCAUGGGUUUAAUUCGAUGCAACGCGAAGACCUUACCUACUCUUGACAUCCAGCGAAUCCUGUAGAGAUACGGGAGUGCCUUCGGGAACGCUGAGACAGGUGCUGCAUGGCUGUCGUCAGCUCGUGUUGUGAAAUGUUGGGUUAAGUCCCGCAACGAGCGCAACCCUUAUCCUUUGUUGCCAGCGGUUCGGCCGGGAACUCAAAGGAGACUGCCAGUGAUAAACUGGAGGAAGGUGGGGAUGACGUCAAGUCAUCAUGGCCCUUACGAGUAGGGCUACACACGUGCUACAAUGGCGUAUACAAAGAGAAGCGAACUCGCGAGAGCCAAGCGGACCUCAUAAAGUACGUCGUGAGUCCGGAUUGGAGUCUGCAACUCUGAUCUCCAUGAAGUUCGGAAUCAGCUACGUAAUCGUGGAUCAGAUAUGCCCCGGUGCAUCAGGCAGUUCCCCAGCCAUGUACACACCCGCCCGUCACUCCAUGCGGAGAAAGCAACAAAACAACCUGGUAGCGCACGACUCCAUAGGGCGCCACC